rnacentral:tRNA from 1 species
GCCGCUGUAGCUCAGCGGAUAGAGCAGUAUUUUGACUAAGUACCGGUCGUGCGUUCGAAUCGUACCAGUGGCA